rnacentral:rRNA from 1 species
UACGUAGGGGGCAAGCGUUGUCCGGAUUUAUUGGGCGUAAAGCGCGUGUAGGUGGCCAAGUAGGUCCGCUGUGAAAACUUGAGGCUCAACCUCAAGCUGUCGGUGGAAACCACUUGGCUAGAGUCCGGAAGAGGAGAGUGGAAUUCCUGGUGUAGCGGUGAAAUGCGCAGAUAUCAGGAAGAACACCGAUGGCGAAGGCAGGUCUCUGGGCCACUACUGACGCUGAGAAGCGAAAGCAUGGGGAGCGAACAGG